UUGAGUUUUGAUCCUGGCUCAGAUUGAACGCUGGCGGCAGGCCUAACACAUGCAAGUCGAGCGGUAGCACAGAGAGCUUGCUCUCGGGUGACGAGCGGCGGACGGGUGAGUAAUGUCUGGGAAACUGCCUGAUGGAGGGGGAUAACUACUGGAAACGGUAGCUAAUACCGCAUAACGUCGCAAGACCAAAGUGGGGGACCUUCGGGCCUCAUGCCAUCAGAUGUGCCCAGAUGGGAUUAGCUGGUAGGUGGGGUAACGGCUCACCUAGGCGACGAUCCCUAGCUGGUCUGAGAGGAUGACCAGCCACACUGGAACUGAGACACGGUCCAGACUCCUACGGGAGGCAGCAGUGGGGAAUAUUGCACAAUGGGCGCAAGCCUGAUGCAGCCAUGCCGCGUGUGUGAAGAAGGCCUUCGGGUUGUAAAGCACUUUCAGCGGGGAGGAAGGCGGUGAGGUUAAUAACCUCCCGAUUGACGUUACCCGCAGAAGUAGCACCGGCUAACGCCGU
rnacentral:rRNA from 1 species